CGAACUCCUACGGGAGGCAGCAGUGAGGAAUAUUGGUCAAUGGACGAGAGUCUGAACCAGCCAAGUAGCGUGCAGGAAGACGGCCCUAUGGGUUAGUAAACUGCUUUUAUAAGGGAAUAAAGUGAGAGUCGUGACUCUUUUUGCAUGUACCUUAUGAAUAAGGACCGGCUAAUUCCGUGC
rnacentral:rRNA from 1 species